GAAAAACUUGUGGAAUGUUUAUUCUGGCGGAACUGCAUGCCCCUUAUAAACCAAAAUUACAUCAUAUGCAUUGUCAGAGAUAACAUGGAAUAAUACAUCUAUAAUUGGUUAGGUGUUAAGUAGUUCAUUUAGUGCCCUUCCUACCGGGUGUGAUGUCACUGGUAUCUUGGAGGUCUCCCCCAGAUUCCAGCGCCAUCUUGUUAAUGAGGGUGUUAGUCGAUGUCAAAGGGAAACUCCCUAGCGGCCAUUUUAGGUAAAUCACAUAUAAGGUUGAAUAAUGC